rnacentral:rRNA from 1 species
CUAUAAUGGAGAGUUUGAUCCUGGCUCAGGACGAACGCUGGCGGCGUGCCUAAUACAUGCAAGUCGAGCGGAACCAUUGGAGCUUGCUCCUUUGGUUUAGCGGCGGACGGGUGAGUAACACGUGGGCAACCUGCCCUGCAGAUCGGGAUAACUCCGGGAAACCGGUGCUAAUACCGAAUAGUUUGCGGCCUCUCAUGAGGCUGUA